rnacentral:rRNA from 1 species
GAUGAACGCUAGCGGCAGGCCUAAUACAUGCAAGACGAACGGUAAGUUGAGUAGCAAUACUUAGCCAAGAGUGUCGUACGGGUGCGUAACACGUAUGCAACCUACCCUAUACAGGAGGAUAGCCUAGGGAAACCUGGAUUAACCCUUCAUAGUAUUAUUGGAUGGCAUCAUUUGAUAAUUAAAACUGAGGUGGUAUAGGAUGGGCAUGCGUCUGAUUAGUUAGUUGGCGGGGUAAUGGCCCACCAAGACGAUGAUCAGUAGGGGUUCUGAGAGGAAGAUCCCCCACACUGGCACUGAGAUACGGGCCAGACUCCUACGGGAGCAGCAGUAGGGAAUAUUGGUCAAUGGAUGCAAGUCUGAACCAGCCAUGCCGCGUGCAGGAAGAAGGCCCUUUCUGGGGUUGUAAAACUGCUUUUGCCAGGGGAUAAAAUUUCCAUGCGUGGAAAACUGAAGGUACCUGGUGAAUAAGCCACGGCUAACUACGUGCCAGCAGCCGCGGUAAU